UACGUAGGGUGCAAGCGUUGUCCGGAAUUAUUGGGCGUAAAGCGCGCGCAGGCGGUCCCUUAAGUCUGAUGUGAAAGCCCACGGCUCAACCGUGGAGGGUCAUUGGAAACUGGGGGACUUGAGUACAGAAGAGAAGAGUGGAAUUCCACGUGUAGCGGUGAAAUGCGUAGAGAUGUGGAGGAACACCAGUGGCGAAGGCGACUCUUUGGUCUGUAACUGACGCUGAGGCGCGAAAGCGUGGGGAGCAAACAGG
rnacentral:rRNA from 1 species